UGGCGCGCUGGCUGAUGUAAUUUAUUUUAAAAAUGAAGAUUUUGAAAUUGAAUUCUGACAGUUUUCUUUGCAUGUGCCAAAAUAUAAACAACAACUAAAUUAGUAGGUAACGACCCUAACGACGACUUUUGUCAUAAUACGUCAAACUUAAAAAUUUCAACCUCAGUUCUAAGUCGGCAUACUCUAUAAUUCUGUCUACUCUGCUAUAGCGUCAACAUCAUCAU